rnacentral:rRNA from 1 species
GGAUCCAGACUUUGAUCCUGGCUCAGGAUGAACGCUAGCUACAGGCUUAACACAUGCAAGUCGAGGGGAAACGACAUCGAAAGCUUGCUUUUGAUGGGCGUCGACCGGCGCACGGGUGAGUAACGCGUAUCCAACCUGCCCACCACUUGGGGAUAACCUUGCGAAAGUAAGACUAAUACCCAAUGACGUCUCUAGAGGACAUCUGAAAGAGAUUAAAGAUUUAUCGGUGAUGGAUGGGGAUGCGUCUGAUUAGCUUGUUGGCGGGGUAACGGCCCACCAAGGCUACGAUCAGUAGGGGUUCUGAGAGGAAGGUCCCCCACAUUGGAACUGAGACACGGUCCAAACUCCUACGGGAGGCAGCAGUGAGGAAUAUUGGUCAAUGGACGAGAGUCUGAACCAGCCAAGUAGCGUGCAGGAUGACGGCCCUAUGGGUUGUAAACUGCUUUUAUAAGGGAAUAAAGUGAGUCUCGUGAGACUUUUUGCAUGUACCUUAUGAAUAAGGACCGGCUAAUUCCGUGCCAGCAGCCGCGGUAAUACGGAAGGUCCGGGCGUUAUCCGGAUUUAUUGGGUUUAAAGGGAGCGUAGGCCGGAGAUUAAGCGUGUUGUGAAAUGUAGAUGCUCAACAUCUGCACUGCAGCGCGAACUGGUUUCCUUGAGUACGCACAAAGUGGGCGGAAUUCGUGGUGUAGCGGUGAAAUGCUUAGAUAUCACGAAGAACUCCGAUUGCGAAGGCAGCUCACUGGAGCGCAACUGACGCUGAAGCUCGAAAGUGCGGGUAUCGAACAGGAUUAGAUAC